rnacentral:rRNA from 1 species
AUUGAACGCUGGCGGCAGGCUUAACACAUGCAAGUCGAGAGAGAGGCGGACGGGUGAGUAUGUCUGGGAAACUGCCUGCUGGAGGGGGUUAACUACUGGAAACGGUAGCUAAUACCGCAUACCAUCAGAUGUGCCCAAAUGGGAUUAGCUAGUGGGUGGGGUAAUGGCCCACCUAGGCUAAGAUCCCUAGCUGGUCUGAGAGGAUGACCAGCCACACUGGAACUGAGAUACGGUCCAGACUCCUACGGGAGGAAUCAGUGGGGAAUAUUGCACAAUGGGCGCAAGCCUGAUGCAGCCAUGCCGCGUGGAUGAAGAAGGCCUUAGGGUUGUAAAGUACUUUCAGCGGGGAGGCGUUACCCGCAGAAGAAGCACCGGCUAACGAAGGGCCAGCAGCCGCGGUAAUUC